AGCGUUUUUCGGCAAAGCGGAGUUCGACCGCCUACAGAAGUGAUCGUCGCGUUCUGCGAUGAGCACCGGCAACGGUGGGGACUCGAACCGAUCGUCCAGGUCCUCAAACACGAUCUGGGACUGCCGAUCGCCC
rfam:Brevibacterium sandarakinum strain DSM 22082 genome assembly, chromosome: I